rnacentral:rRNA from 1 species
AUUGAACGCUGGCGGCGUGCCUAAUACAUGCAAGUCGAGCGAAUGGAUUAAGAGCUUGCUCUUAUGAAGUUAGCGGCGGACGGGUGAGUAACACGUGGGUAACCUGCCCAUAAGACUGGGAUAACUCCGGGAAACCGGGGCUAAUACCGGAUAACAUUUUGAACCGCAUGGUUCGAAAUUGAAAGGCGGCUUCGGCUGUCACUUAUGGAUGGACACGCGUCGCAUUAGCUAGUUGGUGAGGUAACGGCUCACCAAGGCGACGAUGAGUAGCCGAACUGAGAGGGGGAUCGGACACACUGGGACUGAGACACGGCCCAGACUCCUACGGGAGGCAGCAGUAGGGAAUCUUCCGCAAUGGACGAAAGUCUGACGGAGCAACGCCGCGUGAGUGAUGAAGGCUUUCGGGUCGUAAAACUCUGUUGUUAGGGAAGAACAAGUGCUAGUUGAAUAAGCUGACACCUUGACGGUACCUAACCAGAAAGCCACGGCUAACUACGUGCCAGCCGCCGCGGUAA